rnacentral:snoRNA from 1 species
GACAGGAACCGCAUCUGGAGACUAGCCAGUGUUCUGCCGGCUUCAGAGACGGCAGGGACGCCAAGCUUGUCGUUCGGAGCCCCAUUCCAGUUGCAGUCUGCUCAGUAGCUGCUGAUCAGAAGAGACCCUGGGAAGGAA